rnacentral:rRNA from 1 species
UACGUAGGGUGCGAGCGUUGUCCGGAAUUAUUGGGCGUAAAGGGCUCGUAGGCGGUUUGUCGCGUCGGGAGUGAAAACCUCGGGCUUAACUCGGGGCUUGCUUUCGAUACGGGCAGACUAGAGGUAUGCAGGGGAGAACGGAAUUCCUGGUGUAGCGGUGAAAUGCGCAGAUAUCAGGAGGAACACCGGUGGCGAAGGCGGUUCUCUGGGCAGUAACUGACGCUGAGGAGCGAAAGCGUGGGGAGCAAACAGG